rnacentral:lncRNA from 1 species
CACACAGGGGAAGCAGCUCAGAGCAAGGAUGGGAGAGGAAACACAUAAGCCACCCAAGCUUGAGAUCCAUCCUUGGCUCCGAAGACCAUCCCUUUUGAUCAUGACUGCAUCGUACUUAUACAUUUUCUCCUGGAAUGGAGAUUAACCUAGGUUCUAGCAUAUGUGUGAAGUAAUGUUUAAUCUCAAACAGUAAAGGGAGAGACUCCCACAAUGGUCAAGUAGUAGCCAUCCUGUGUUCCAGAGAAUGACCGUUAAGAUAGUCACAGGAUGGGGACAUCCACCAGGGGUCCACGCCAAGGUGAUCAACAGCCCAAGUCAUGUUAUCAAACUCAUCUCUUCUUGGGAUCCUAUUAAUGACUGAGUUGGUCACCAGCAGAACACUCGACUCACAUAUGCCAGAGCUGAACACCAGCUUCAUGUGCUUCUAGAGCGAUACCACCCUGCAGACACACAGUCUGUAGGAAGGAGAAACGCGUUCUUCUUUUCCCUCUAUCUUUCUGUGUCAUGUGUGGGUGCAACCAUCAUCAAGGAAUGCUC